UACGGAGGGGGCUAGCGUUGUUCGGAAUUACUGGGCGUAAAGCGCACGUAGGCGGCUUUGUAAGUUAGAGGUGAAAGCCCGGGGCUCAACCCCGGAAUUGCCUUUAAGACUGCAUCGCUUGAACGUCGGAGAGGUGAGUGGAAUUCCGAGUGUAGAGGUGAAAUUCGUAGAUAUUGGGAAGAACACCGGUGGCGAAGGCGGCUCUCUGGACCGUAACUGACGCUGAGGCGCGAAAGCGUGGGGAGCAAACAGG
rnacentral:rRNA from 1 species